rnacentral:rRNA from 1 species
UACGUAUGGUGCAAGCGUUAUCCGGAUUUACUGGGUGUAAAGGGUGCGUAGGUGGUUGCGCAAGUCAGAAGUGAAAACUAUGGGCUCAACCCAUAGACUGCUUUUGAAACUGCGUAACUAGAGUGCAGGAGAGGAAAGUGGAAUUCCUAGUGUAGCGGUGAAAUGCGUAGAUAUUAGGAGGAACACCAGUGGCGAAGGCGGCUUUCUGGACUGCAACUGACACUGAGGCACGAAAGCGUGGGGAGCAAAC